GGAGGAGAAAUGUAAAAAAUAUUAAAAAAAAAAAUUUAAAUAAAUAAAACAGGAAUUAAAACAGACAACAAUGAAAGAAAAACAAACGCAGCCCUCGGAUUGGCCCACCAGGGUUGCUUCCACACAGCGUUUCCGGACCCUCGCUUGGAUGUGUUUUUCUUCCGUUUGUUUUUGGUGAGGUUCUGAGCGCGGUUGGUUAGUCUAGCAAGUGUGUCAAGCCCAAACGCAACUCAAACGGGACUCAGAUUUGAACAAACGCAAAACAAACACCAAACCAAACACGAGGUUCUGAGCGUGGUUGGUUACUCUAGCAAGCGUGUGAGGCCCAAACGCAACUCAAACGGGACUCAGAUUUGAACAAGCACAAAACAAACACCAAACCAAACGCGAGGUUCUGAGCGCGGUUGGUUACUCUAGCAAGCGUGUGAAGCCCAAACGGGACUCAAGCGGGAAUCAAACGGGACUUAAAUCUGAACAAACGCAAAACAAACACCAAACCAAACGCACACACACACACACACACACACACAAAAAAAAAAAAGCUCAACGGAAAAAAAACGCUAAAAAAUAUAA